rnacentral:rRNA from 1 species
CCUUGUACACACCGCCCGUCACACCAUGGGAGCUAGUUGUACCGGAAGUCGGUGAACCAACCCGCAAGGGGGGUAGCCGCCUAUGGUAUGGCUGGUGACUGGGGUG